rnacentral:rRNA from 1 species
UCGAUUAGAGUUUGAUCCUGGCUCAGGAUGAACGCUAGCGACAGGCUUAACACAUGCAAGUCGAGGGGCAUCAUAGGUGUAGCAAUACAUUGGGUGGCGACCGGCGCACGGGUGAGUAACGCGUAUGCAACCUGCCUAUCAGAGGAGAAUAACCCGUCGAAAGUCGGACUAAUACUCCAUAAAACAGGGGUUCCGCAUGGGACUAUUUGUUAAAGAUUAAUCGCUGAUAGAUGGGCAUGCGUUCCAUUAGUUAGUUGGUAAGGUAACGGCUUACCAAGGCAACGAUGGAUAGGGGUUCUGAGAGGAAGGUCCCCCACACUGGUACUGAGACACGGACCAGACUCCUACGGGAGGCAGCAGUGAGGAAUAUUGGUCAAUGGGCGUAAGCCUGAACCAGCCAAGUCGCGUGAAGGAUGAAGGAUCUAUGGUUCGUAAACUUCUUUUAUACGGGAAUAAAGUGAGGCACGUGUGUCUUUUUGUAUGUACCGUAAUGAAUAAGCAUCGGCUAACUCCGUGCCAGCAGCCGCGGUAAUACGGAGGAUGCGAGCGUUAUCCGGAUUUAUUGGGUUUAAAGGGUGCGUAGGUUGUAGAUUAAGUCAGCGGUGAAAGAUUGUCGCUUAACGAUAAAAUUGCCGUUGAAACUGUUUUACUAGAGUAUAUUUGAAGUAGGCGGAAUGCGUGGUGUAGCGGUGAAAUGCAUAGAUAUCACGCAGAACUCCGAUA